AUCCUGGCUCAGGAUGAACGCUGGCGGCGUGCUUAACACAUGCAAGUCGAACGGUGAAGCCAAGCUUGCUUGGUGGAUCAGUGGCGAACGGGUGAGUAACACGUGAGCAACCUGCCCUGGACUCUGGGAUAAGCGCUGGAAACGGCGUCUAAUACUGGAUAUGAGCUCCUAUCGCACGGUGGGGGUUGGAAAGAUUUUUCGGUCUGGGAUGGGCUCGCGGCCUAUCAGCUUGUUGGUGAGGUAAUGGCUCACCAAGGCGUCGACGGGUAGCCGGCCUGAGAGGGUGACCGGCCACACUGGGACUGAGACACGGCCCAGACUCCUACGGGAGGCAGCAGUGGGGAAUAUUGCACAAUGGGCGGAAGCCUGAUGCAGCAACGCCGCGUGAGGGAUGACGGCCUUCGGGUUGUAAACCUCUUUUAGCAGGGAAGAAGCGAGAGUGACGGUACCUGCAGAAAAAGCGCCGGCUAACUACGUGCCAGCAGCCGCGGUAAUACGUAGGGCGCAAGCGUUAUCCGGAAUUAUUGGGCGUAAAGAGCUCGUAGGCGGUUUGUCGCGUCUGCUGUGAAAUCCCGAGGCUCAACCUCGGGCCUGCAGUGGGUACGGGCAGACUAGAGUGCGGUAGGGGAGAUUGGAAUUCCUGGUGUAGCGGUGGAAUGCGCAGAUAUCAGGAGGAACACCGAUGGCGAAGGCAGAUCUCUGGGCCGUAACUGACGCUGAGGAGCGAAAGGGUGGGGAGCAAACAGGCUUAGAUACCCUGGUAGUCCACCCCGUAAACGUUGGGAACUAGUUGUGGGGACCAUUCCACGGUUUCCGUGACGCAGCUAACGCAUUAAGUUCCCCGCCUGGGGAGUACGGCCGCAAGGCUAAAACUCAAAAGAAUUGACGGGGACCCGCACAAGCGGCGGAGCAUGCGGAUUAAUUCGAUGCAACGCGAAGAACCUUACCAAGGCUUGACAUAUACGAGAACGGGCCAGAAAUGGUCAACUCUUUGGACACUCGUAAACAGGUGGUGCAUGGUUGUCGUCAGCUCGUGUCGUGAGAUGUUGGGUUAAGUCCCGCAACGAGCGCAACCCUCGUUCUAUGUUGCCAGCACGUAAUGGUGGGAACUCAUGGGAUACUGCCGGGGUCAACUCGGAGGAAGGUGGGGAUGACGUCAAAUCAUCAUGCCCCUUAUGUCUUGGGCUUCACGCAUGCUACAAUGGCCGGUACAAAGGGCUGCAAUACCGUGAGGUGGAGCGAAUCCCAAAAAGCCGGUCCCAGUUCGGAUUGAGGUCUGCAACUCGACCUCAUGAAGUCGGAGUCGCUAGUAAUCGCAGAUCAGCAACGCUGCGGUGAAUACGUUCCCGGGUCUUGUACACACCGCCCGUC
rnacentral:rRNA from 1 species